AUGAAAGGGGAAAUAAAUCUGACCCUCAUGCCACAUACCAAUGACGGGCAUAAAAAUACUUUAGACCCAUCUCUAGCAGCGUGGUGUACGGUACACACUGGAUUGCUAGUUUGUGCAAGCACAGCCUGGAUGUUCCUGUUAAUGACUAUCUUGAGAAUGUCAAGAUCCUGUCCUCCCACUAUAUUCCCAUCAAGCAGAAUGUGCAGAGGAACGUGCUGUUCACUGUUCAAGGUCAGGGGCUCUGGGGAGGUGGAGUGUCUCCUUUGUAACAGUGUCCGGAUGGCAGACCUUGCUCUCCUUGGAAUGCUGGCUGUGCAAGGAGGGGAAAGGCUACAGAUAGUUGCUAGGCUAGUUGCUAUGAUAAUAAAAACUUGCUGCACUUACAUCCCAGCAACGGAUGCUUUGUCCAUUCAGCUGCUCCUGGAUUCCCUGUACAGGAGUAAGUUCCCUCAACAGACCUGUGUCUCCAUCACUGUCUCUGGGUCUUUUCUUUGGCCUUACCAGACUGUCAUCCACCUAGGCUUAAGAGCCUUCUGGGGUGUAGCUGCACAAAUGGUCAAGGUGCCCUGGAAGUCUAAGGCUUGAAGAGCACACCCCAGUUUGUGGUUUCCAGGACACCUCAAUUCCUCAGGCAAUGAAGAUCAUGUAUGACAUUUCAUUCUCUUCUGUUUUGAAAAUUAGAGAAGUUUUUAUUAAAUUCCAUGCAACAGGACUUUUGAUCUAAAUUGUCUCUUAUUCUUGAGUUUGAUAAAUAAUUAAUGGCUCACUGUUCAUACUAGUCAAUGAUUAGUAAUGCCUCAUUCGCCUGCGGAAUUAAUAUUUCAUAUGAUUGGUCCAGUCAUUUAAGCCUAAGCCAACAGGAGGAGGCCUGUGGAUUUGAGGAGAAGUUUGGGUUGCAAUGGGAUAAACUAAUGGGUUAGUAUUUGUAUUUUGAUGCUCUCAUGGCCAGUGCUGGAGGCAUGGAACAAGGAUAGAUUUUUCCUUUUUGGGAGUAAAAAAAAUGCAAUAACAGACUUGUUCUGAAUAUCAAGUGCCAUGAAGAUUAGCCUAUCAUUCAACAAGUGUUUAUUAGAUUCCUACUGUAUACCCCACUUGUGCCCAAAGCACCAGCUAUUCUAAUGGUUGUUAGAAAUGCAGUAAAGAAAACAGAAACUGAACCCCGCUUUAAUAUGGAAUUGGUUUCUAGAUCCCUAUCUAGACUAUCAUCAGUGCUUUGAAAUCCCCUGGUUGCUGAACAUUUGUCAGCAUUUGGCAUUAAGCCUGUCAGCGAAAACAUUUUCCCCCUGAAUUUUUAGUGCAUCAUUAGUAAGUAAGGAGUAUCAAUUAUGAUUAAGUUCAUAAUCAAUAUUGUUAACAAAGCAAACUAU
rnacentral:lncRNA from 12 species